GCCCCCUAGCUCAGCUGGCCAGAGCACCUGUCUUGUAAACAGGGGGUCGCCGGUUCGAAUCCGGCAGGGGGCUCCA
rnacentral:tRNA from 1 species